rnacentral:lncRNA from 10 species
GCAAGGCCGGUUCCUGGCUAGGGCUUCACCCUCUGGCUUGUGCCCACGAACCUAGGUGAGGACAGGCACUCCUGCCUUUGGGCCCAAAUGUUGCAUUUUCCAAAACCACCCUGGCCCACCACACCCCCAUCCUGGGCGGAUAAAAACUGAGACCCUAGCAGGCAGAUAGAUACACAAGCGUCUGGACGUCCAGAGGAGGGGAUCAGCGGAAGAAGACACAAGCAGCCGGACAUCGAGAGGAUGUCGAGGGGAGCAUGCCAGUGGAAGAGCACAUGACAGACACUGGCAGGACAGCAGGCCAUUGACUGGAGGAACGAUGUGGAGUUUAGCGAGAUCAGGAGGAGGAGAGCACGGGCCGCUAAGCAGAGGGACCCCUGGUGCAUCUCCCAUCUGGCUCCCCCAUCUGCUGAGAACUACUUCUACUCAGUAAAACCUCGGACUCAUUCUCCAAGCCCUCGCGUGAUCUGGUUCUUCCGGUACACCACGGCAGGAAACCCUGGGAUACAGAAAUCCCUCCGUCCUUGUGGAUUUUAGAAUGCCAAGCUGACAUUUUGAGUUUUUAUGAGAAACCAGAAAAUUUGGUGUGAAGACCCUAAGUGGUGUGUCUGACUUACAGCAGGCCCACAGCAAAUACAUUGGAGACUUCUCAACUUUCUGCUUCUGAUGAUCUCAACUUGUGGUAUGGCAAAAGGAGAGCAAAAUGUUCACCCAGGGGUCUGAGUUUGGUUCAAGAGAGGAACUACAGCUGUUGGUGACUACAACCAUCUGCCCAGAUGACAUCGUGAUCAACUCCUCUGAAUCACUCUAAAGGAACGAGAAGUCCUGGCAGCUGAGUCAUGAUCCCCCAGGAGCCAUUAAGAAGUUAAUCUUCAGUCACUUCCAUCCAAACAGAAGAAAACCCAUGAAGGAUGAGAACUAUGGGUCCUGAGAAUGACAGGUAUUGAAGACAGGAUUUAUCUUCUCUACUUCUUCUUUUAGAAGCAGAUCAAGAAACUGGCGAUUGAAGAGUAACUGAAAGAAACGCAAUCUGAUCUUACUAGCAGUGAAAGAGCGAGUCUCCCUCUGAUGCCGAGCAGAAGCUAGACUGUACUGCUGCCAUCUCAGCUCACUGCAACCUCCCUGCCUGAUUCUCCUGCCUCAGCCUGCUGAGUGCCUGCAAUUGCAGGCGCGCCGCCACGCCUGACUGGUUUUCGUAUUUUUUUGGUGGAGACGGGGAUUCGCUGUGUUGGCCGGGCUGGUCUCCAGCUCCUAACCGCGAGUGAUCCACCAGCCUCGGCCUCCUGAGGUGCCGGGAUUGCAGACGGAGUCUGGUUCACUCAGUGCUCAAUGGCGCCCAGACUGGAGUGCAGUGGCGUGAUCUCAGCUCGCUACAACCUCCACCUCCCAGCCGCCUCCCUUGGCCUCCCAAAGUGCAGAGAUUGCAGCCUCUGCCCGGCCGCCACCCCGCCUGGGAAGUGAGGAGCGUCUCUGCCUGGCCGCCCAUUGUCUGGGAUGUGAGGAGCCCCUCUGCCUGGCUGCCCAGUCUGGAAAGUGAGGAGUGUCUCUGCCUGGCCGCCAUCCCAUCUAGGAAGUGAGGAGCGCCUCUUCCCGGCCGCCAUCCCAUCUAGGAAGUGAGGAGCCUCUCUGCCCAGCCGCCCAUCGUCUGAGAUGUGGGGAGCGCCUCUGCCCCGCCGCCCCGUCUGGGAUGUGAGGAGCGCCUCUACCCCGCCGCGACCCCGUCUGGGAGGUGAGGAGCGUCUCUGCCCGGCGGCCCCGUCUGGGAAGUGAGGAGACCCUCCGCCCGGCAGCCGCCCCAUCUGAGAAGUGAGGAGCCCCUCUGCCCAGCAGCCACCCUGUCUGGGAAGUGAGGAGCGUCUCUGCCCAGCAGCCACCCCGUCUGGGAGGGAGGUGGGGGGUCAGCCCCCCGCCCGGCCAGCCGCCCCGUCCGGGAGGUGAGGGGCGCCUCUGCCCGGCGGCCCCUACUGGGAAGUGAGGAGCCCCUCUGCCCGGCCAGCCGCCCCGUCUGGGAAGUGAGGAGCGUCUCCGCCCAGCAGCCACCCCGUCCGGGAGGGAGGUGGGGGGAUCAGCCCCCCGCCCGGCCAGCCGCCCAGUCCGGGAGGGAGGUGGGGGGGUCAGCCCCCCGCCCGGCCAGCCGCCCCGUCCGGGAGGUGAGGGGUGCCUCUGCCCGGCCGCCCCUACUGGGAAGUGAGGAGCCCCUCUGCCCGGCCAGCCGCCCGGUCCGGGAGGGAGGUGGGGGGGUCAGCCCCCUGCCUGGCAAGCCGCCCCGUCUGGGAGGGAGGUGGGGGGAUCAGCCCCCCGCCGGGCCAGCCACCCCGUCCGGGAGGUGAGGGGUGCCUCUGCCCGGCCGCCCCUACUGGGAAGUGAGGAGCCCCUCUGCCCGGCCAGCCGCCCCAUCCGGGAGUGAGGUGGGGGGGUCAGCCCCCUGCCCGGCCAGCCGCCCCGUCCGGGAGGUGAGGGGCGCCUCUGCCCGGCCGCCCCUACUGGGAAGUGAGGAGCCCCUCUGCCCGGCCACCACCCCGUCUGGGAGGUGUACCCAACAGCUCAUUGAGAACGGGCCAUGAUGACAAUGGCGGUUUUGUGGAAUAGAAAGCGGGGAAAGGUGGGGAAAAGAUUGAGAAAUCGGAUGGUUGCCGUGUCUGUGUAGAAAGAGGUAGACAUGGGAGACUUUUCAUUUUGUUCUGUACUAAGAAAAAUUCUUAUCCUGUUGAUCUGUGACCUUACCCCCAACCCCGUGCUCUCUGAAACAUGUGCUGUGUCCACUCAGGGCUAAAUGGAUUAAGGGCGGUGCAAGAUGUGCUUUGUUAAACAGAUGCUUGAAGGCAGCAUGCUCGUUGAGAGUCAUCACCACUCCCUAAUCUCAAGUAACCAGGGACACAAACACUGUGGAAGGCCGCAGGGUCCUCUGCCUAGGAAAACCAGAGACCUUUGUUCACUUGUUUAUCUGCUGACCUUCCCUCCACUAUUGUCCUAUGACCCUGCCAAAUCCCCCUCUGCGAGAAACACCCAAGAAUGAUCAAUAAAAAAAUAAAAUAAAAUAAAAUAAAAUAAAAUAAAUAAAGUUUCAUGCGCAUCCGUGUGAAGAGACCACCAAACAGGCUUUGUGUGAGCAGCAUGGCUGUUUAUUUCACCUGGGUGCAGGCGGGCUGAGUCCGAAAAGAGAGUCAGCCAAGGG